rnacentral:rRNA from 1 species
GACGCUCAGAUGCGAAAGCGNGGGUAGCAAACAGGAUUAGAUACCCUGGUAGUCCACGCNGUAAACGANGUCUACUUGAAGGUUGGGAUCUUGAAUUCUGGCCUUNGGAGCUAACGCGUUAAGUAGACCGCCUGGGGAGUACGGUCGCAAGAUUAAAACUCAANNGAAUUGACGGGGGCCCGCACAAGCGGUGGAGCAUGUGGUUUAAUUCGAUGCAGCGCGAAGAACCUUACCUACUCUUGACAUCCAGAGAAGCCAGCAGAGAUGCAGGUGUGCCUUCGGGAACUNUGAGACAGGUGCUGCAUGGCNGUCGUCAGCUCGUGUUGUGAAAUGUUGGGUUAAGUCCCGCAACGAGCGCAACCCUUAUCCUUGUUNGCCAGCACGUAAUGGUGGGAACUCCAGGGAGACUGCCGGUGAUAAACCGGAGGAAGGUGGGGACGACGUCAAGUCAUCAUGGCCCUUACGAGUAGGGCUACACACGUGCUACAAUGGUGCAUACAGAGGGAAGCAAGAGCGCGAGCUGGAGCGGAUCCCAAAAAGUGCAUCGUAGUCCGGAUUGGAGUCUGCAACUCGACUCCAUGAAGUCGGAACCGCUAGUAAUCGUGGAUCAGAAUGCCACGGUGAAUACGUUCCCGGGCCUUGUACACNCCGCCCGUCAUCUUGCUGAAAA